GGAUUAGGCAUGCAAGUCGAACGGUAGGAACCUUUCGGGGUUCUGAGAGUGGCGAACGGGUGAGUAACACGUAGGUGAUCUACCCUCAAAUCGGGGACAACCCAGGGAAACUUGGGCUAAUACCGGAUGAGUGCAUCAGAGAUGGUGUAUAAAAGGUGGCGUACGUGCCGUUUGGGGAUGAGCCUGCGCCCUAUUAGUUAGUUGGUGAGGUAAUGGCUCACCAAGGCGAUGAUAGGUAGGCGGCCUUAACGGGUGGUCGCCCACACUGGGAUUGAGAUACGGCCCAGACUCCUACGGGAGGCAGCAGUCGAGAAUAGUCUACAAUGGACGAAAGUCUGAUAGUGCGACGCCGCGUGAACGAGGAAGCCCUUCGGGUGUAAAGUUCUUUUAUAUGUGAGCAGUGGGUUCUACGUUAACAGCGUGGGAUCAGGGAUAUUAGCAUAUGAAUAAGCAACGGCUAACUCCGUGCCAGCAGCCGCGGUAAUA
rnacentral:rRNA from 1 species